rnacentral:rRNA from 1 species
CAGUCGCCGCGGUAAAACGUAGGGUGCGAGCAUUAAUCGGAUUUACUGGGCGUAAAGGGCUCGCAGGCGGUUUCUUAAGUCUGAUGUGAAAGCCCCCGGCUCAACCGGGGAGGGUCAUUGGAAACUGGGAAACUUGAGUGCAGAAGAGGAGAGUGGAAUUCCACGUGUAGCGGUGAAAUGCGUAGAGAUGUGGAGGAACACCAGUGGCGAAGGCGACUCUCUGGUCUGUAACUGACGCUGAGGAGCGAAAGCGUGGGGAGCGAACAGGAUUAGAUACCCGUGUAGUCCCUGUCUCUUAUAU